CACCUCUUGCCCAACUAUAAGAGGCCCCGCCUGCCCAGUGACUCCUUGUUCAACGGCCACGGUAUCCUAACCGCGCAAAGGUAGCGUAAUCACUUGUUUUCUAAAUAAAGACCAGUAUGAAAGGCAUCACGAGAUUUAAACUGUCUCCUUUCCCUAAUCAGUGAACCUAAUCUCCCCGUGAAGAAGCGGGGAUAACCCUAUAAGACGAGAAGACCCUGUGGAGCUUAAAACAUUCCUACACGUGCUACCAUAUUCUCCGCCAAGGCCACUACCUCACAGCACGCUGAUUAUAUGUUUUUGGUUGGGGUGACCACGGAGAACAAUAUAUCCUCCGCGAUGAAAGGGGUAUGCCCCCUAAAUAAUAAGCCACAACUUAACCUAUCAAUAAAUUGACAUCCAUUGACCCAAUAUUUUGAUCAACGAACCAAGUUACCCCAGGGAUAACAGCGCAAUCCACUUUUAGAGCUCCUAUCAACAAGUGGGCUUACGACCUCGAUGUUGGAUCAGGGUAUCCCAGUGGUGCAACCGCUACUGAAGGUUCGUUUGUUCAACGAUUAAAACCCU
rnacentral:rRNA from 1 species